UACGUAGGGGGCAAGCGUUGUCCGGACUUAUUGGGCGUAAAGAGCGUGUAGGCGGCUUUACAGGUCCGUUGUGAAAACUCGAGGCUCAACCUCGAGACGCCGGUGGAAACCGUAAGGCUAGAGUCCGGAAGAGGCGAGUGGAAUUCCUGGUGUAGCGGUGAAAUGCGCAGAUAUCAGGAGGAACACCAAUGGCGAAGGCAGCUCGCUGGGACGGUACUGACGCUGAGACGCGAAAGCGUGGGGAGCAAACAGG
rnacentral:rRNA from 1 species